UGAGGAAUAUUGGACAAUGGGCGCAAGCCUGAUCCAGCCAUGCCGCGUGCAGGAAGAAGCAUCUAUGGUGUGUAAACUGCUUUUGUACGGGAAGAAACACUCCUUCGUGAAGGAGCUUGACGGUACCGUAAGAAUAAGGAUCGGCUAACUCCGUGCCAGCAGCCGCGGUAAUACGGAGGAUCCAAGCGUUAUCCGGAAUCAUUGGGUUUAAAGGGUCCGUAGGCGGUUUAGUAAGUCAGUGGUGAAAGCCCAUCGCUCAAAGAUGGAACGGCCAUUGAUACUGCUAGACUUGAAUUAAUAAGAAGUAACUAGAAUAUGUAGUGUAGCGGUGAAAUGCUUAAAUAUUACAUGGAAUACCAAAUGCGAAGGAAGGUUACUACUAAUGGAUUGACGCUGAUGGACGAAAGCGUGGGGAGCGAACA
rnacentral:rRNA from 1 species